rnacentral:rRNA from 1 species
ACUCCUACGGGAGGCAGCAGUGGGAAUAUUGCACAAUGGGGAAGCCAUCGAUGCAGCCAUGCCGCGCUGUGUGAAGAGGCCAAUUCGGGCUUGGUAAGACACUUUCAGUAGGGAGGAAGGUAGUGUAGUUAACACCUGCAUUAUUUGACGUUACCUACAGAAGAAGCACCGGCUAACUCCGUGCCAGCAGCCGCGGUAAUACGGAGGGUGCGAGCGUUAAUCGGAAUUACUGGGCGUAAAGCGCAUGCAGGCGGCCUGUUAAGUCAGAUGUGAAAGCCC